CCUACGGGUGGCAGCAGUCGAGAAUCAUUCACAAUGGGGGAAACCCUGAUGGUGCGACGCCGCGUGGGGGAAUGAAGGUCUUCGGAUUGUAAACCCCUGUCAUGUGGGAGCAAGCGUGCGUUCGUGAACGCGCGUCGAGAGUACCCGGAGAAAAAGCAUCGGCUAACUCCGUGCCAGCAGCCGCGGUAAUACGGAGGAUGCGAGCGUUAUCCGGAUUUAUUGGGUUUAAAGGGUGCGUAGGCGGGAUGCCAAGUCAGCGGGAAAAAUGCGGUGCUCAACGCCGUCGAGCCGUUGAAACUGGCGUUCUUGAGUGGGCGAGAAGUAUGCGGAAUGCGUGGUGUAGCGGUGAAAUGCAUAGAUAUCACGCAGAACUCCGAUUGCGAAGGCAGCAUACCGGCGCCCUACUGACGCUGAGGCACGAAAGCGUGGGUAUCGAACAGGAUUAGAUACCCUGGUAGUC
rnacentral:rRNA from 1 species